UGCUAUCAAAAAUCGUUGGGUGCAUCAAAA
rnacentral:piRNA from 1 species